AGAUAACAAGACAAAGAAUAUGAAUAAAUUAAACUUGCAACGUCACACAGGAAGGGCUUCCCUGUUUGUUGCUGGGGUUUUACAGCCAAUUGGGGAACUAGUUGAUAAACCCUAGACAGAAAUAGAAACUCUACAAGAAGUGAAACCAAGUUCCAUCCAAGAAUGAAACCACAACCGAUCACAUGAGAUGCCCAUGUCAUCACCUGGCCCACAGACAGGGGAGCAAAUAUAUUGAUGAUCUGGUCCAGCCGCCGGACUGCUGCAUUCAUCCCUGUGAGAGGAAGGAAAUAUGGCAGGUCUAAAAUUGUCAAGGAACUUGGUGAUGAACUUGCAAAUGGAAGACUUCUUUCCUGAA